rnacentral:rRNA from 1 species
UGGGGAAUAUUGGACAAUGGGGGAAACCCUGAUCCAGCAAUGCCGCGUGAGUGAAGAAGGCCUUAGGGUUGUAAAGCUCUUUCAGUAGGGACGAUAAUGACGGUACCUACAGAAGAAGCCCCGGCUAACUCCGUGCCAGCAGCCGCGGUAAGACGGAGGGGGCUAGCGUUGUUCGGAAUUACUGGGCGUAAAGGGCGCGUAGGCGGCCAAUCAAGUUAGGCGUGAAAUCCCUGGGCUUAACCUAGGAACUGCGUUUAAUACUGUUUGGCUAGAGAUUGGUAGAGGAAAGUGGAAUUCCUAGUGUAGAGGUGAAAUUCGUAGAUAUUAGGAAGAACACCAGAGGCGAAGGCGGCUUUCUGGACCAAUACUGACGCUGAGGCGCGAAAGCGUGGGGAGCAAA